UACAGAAGGUGCGAGCGUUAAUCGGAAUUACUGGGCGUAAAGGGUGCGUAGGUGGUUUUGUAAGUUAGGUGUGAAAGUCCCGGGCUUAACCUGGGGAUUGCGCCUGAUACUGCAAAGCUAGAGUACUGUAGAGGAAAGUGGAAUUUCCAGUGUAGCGGUGAAAUGCGUAGAUAUUGGAAGGAACAUCAGUGGCGAAGGCGAAUCUCUGGACAGUUACUGACACUGAGGCACGAAGGCCAGGGGAGCAAACGGG
rnacentral:rRNA from 1 species